CCUAUGGGGGGCAGCAGUUAGGAAUCUUUUGCAAUGCGCGCAAGCGUGACAAAGCGAGCCAGAGUGCUUUUCAAUUGAAAAGCUUUUGCCAAAUCUAAAAAUUUUGGCGAAUAAGGACUGGGCAAGACUAGUGCCAGCCGCCGCGGUAAUACUAGCGGUCCAAGUCGCAGCCAUCAUUAUUGGGUCUAAAACAUCCGUAGCUUGCUUAAUAAGUUCCUUGUGAAAUCUUAUCUCUUAAGGAUAAGGCGUGCAAGGGAUACUGCUAAGCUAGAGACUGGAAGACGUAGAAAGUAUGUAUAAAGUAGCGGUAAAAUGUGUUAAUCUUAUGCAGACUCACAAUAGCGAAGGCAUUCUACGAGGACAGUUCUGACAGUAAAGGAUGAAGGCUAGGGGCGCAAAAUGGAUUAGAUACCCCCGUAGUCC
rnacentral:rRNA from 1 species